rnacentral:rRNA from 1 species
UGAUACGUAGGGUGCGAGCGUUGUCCGGAAUUAUUGGGCGUAAAGAGCUUGUAGGCGGUUUGUUGCGUCGGAAGUGAAAACUCAGGGCUUAACUCUGAGCUUGCUUUCGAUACGGGCAGACUAGAGGAAGGUAGGGGAGAAUGGAAUUCCUGGUGGAGCGGUGGAAUGCGCAGAUAUCAGGAGGAACACCGGUGGCGAAGGCGGUUCUCUGGACCUUUCCUGACGCUGAGAAGCGAAAGCGUGGGGAGCAAACAGG